rnacentral:rRNA from 1 species
GAUGAACGCUGGCGGCGUGCCUAAUACAUGCAAGUCGAGCGAACGGACGAGAAGCUUGCUUCUCUGAUGUUAGCGGCGGACGGGUGAGUAACACGUGGAUAACCUACCUAUAAGACUGGGAUAACUUCGGGAAACCGGAGCUAAUACCGGAUAAUAUUUUGAACCGCAUGGUUCAAAAGUGAAAGAUGGUCCUGCUGUCACUUAUAGAUGGAUCCGCGCUGCAUUAGCUAGUUGGUAAGGUAACGGCUUACCAAGGCAACGAUGCAUAGCCGACCUGAGAGGGUGAUCGGCCACACUGGAACUGAGACACGGUCCAGACUCCUACGGGAGGCAGCAGUAGGGAAUCUUCCGCAAUGGGCGAAAGCCUGACGGAGCAACGCCGCGUGAGUGAUGAAGGUCUUCCGAUCGUAAAACUCUGUUAUUAGGGAAGAACAUAUGUGUAAGUAACUGUGCACAUCUUGACGGUACCUAAUCAGAAAGCCACGGCUAACUACGUG